AGCAUACUAGUUGGGCGGUCAGCUUUCGGGGGAGGAUCCUAAGGGACCAGGUCACAAGAAGCUGAGGUAGGAGGCUUCCCAUCCCAACCCCAUCUCAGGAACAGAGAGCAGAGGCUCAGACUCCAUCAAGCUGGAAUAUGCCAGUCCCUUGCGAUCAGGUCUAGGAUCCACAGGCUCAUGCUGUCUGGCUUCUCAGGCUCCCGCCAACCCCCUCCUCCUUUCACUCUAUGUUACAGGAUCUUCUCUGCCUAUAUCAAGGAGGUGGAGGAACGGCCAGCCCCUACACCGUGGGGCUCCAAGAUGCCCUUUGGGGAGCUGAUGUUUGAAUCGAGCAGCAGCUGUGGCUGGGUGCAUGGUGUCUGCUUCUCGGCCGGUGGGAGCCGAGUUGCUUGGGUCAGCCAUGACAGCACUGUGUGCCUGGUAGAUGCUGAGAAGAAGAUGGCGUGAGUGUGGGGCCAGAGAGGUGGGGAAAGAAACUACAACUGAAGCCCAGAGCAGGAGGCAGGGAGGGGAUGCAUGUAGCUGACCCAGUGUCUCUUUCAGCGUGGCAACCCUGGCCUCUGAGACAUUACCGCUCCUGGCCAUCACCUUCAUCACAGAAAAUAGUCUCGUGGCAGCGGUAAGUGGCAUCUGGGGAGUCAAACCUUCAUCCAUAUAAUACACAGACUAGUUUGGGUUAUGGGACAGUAACAAAAUUCCUAUGCUGUAUUUUAAGGUCUCACUAUGAAGUCUAGGCUGGUCUUCUCUUUCACCUUUACAUUCUCCAUGCUGGCCUUUAAUUCACUUUGUAAUGUAGGCCAACCUGUCAGUAUUCUGGGUUGCUUGAAUGAUCAAAGAGAUGCCCUGCUGGAUGGAUAUAGGCUUGUCAGCAGCAGGGGCUGAUGGGAGAUCGCCUCUCAGGAAAUGAACUGACUGCUUCCUUGAAGCCCUUUUUGUUACACAAAAGGUACCUUUGCAAGUCAAUUUCCACAUACCAAAACCUCUUAUCUAGGGGCUGUCUUAAAAGACCAUCACCUCAGUGGUUCUCGGCCAUAGGAGACAGCCUGGUUUGCCAGGCCUGCCUGUGACUAAGUUAUGCAAAAGAUCUGAGAACCACUCGUUCCUUGUUCUUUCCCUUUCCCCCUCUUCCCCUCUGUCCCUUCUCUCCCCCCUCCCCUCCAUGUGCUCAUGGCCAGCCUCUACUCCUCUCCUCUUCUACUCUUCUUCUCUCAAACCUUUCCACAUUGGAAAAAGAAAAGAUCUGAGAAUCUUUCAAAAGAACAUCAUAAGAGCUCAGAUAAUAAUCACUGACAGAAGGCUACCUCCGGGGAAGGGGAGUCUGAUGGAAGCUUUGUUUCCAGUUCUUCCACUCUCACAGGUUGCCCUCUGACUUCUACAUGACCUAUGGCACCUGCACGAGUGUGCGUACCUAUGUAUGUGUACACACACCCCCCAAAUUAAAAAAAAGAAAAAGUUUUAGAGGCAGGCCCCUGGGAAUGGACUCAGGGUCACCAAGUGUCCCCAAAGCUACUGUCCCUUCUGUACACUGUUCUGUCACUAUGGAGAGCUUGUUUUCUGCUGGAGGAUCACCCAGCUGGGGUGAAGGUCUAAGGAGUCCUAUACGUACAUGAAGUAGAUGCAGGCCUUUCUGAGCUGUCCCUACUUGACACAUUGAGGGUUGAGGUCCCUUUCUCUCUCAAGUCCCUACCUCACAUGAUGCUUCAGUGGCAUUCGUUCCUUCCUUAGGGCCACGACUGCUUCCCGGUGCUGUUUACCUAUGACAACGCUGCGGGGACAUUGAGCUUUGGUGGCCGGCUGGAUGUGCCCAAGCAGAACUCCCAGCGUGGCCUGACAGCCCGAGAGCGCUUCCAGAACCUCGACAAGAAGGCCAGCUC
rnacentral:lncRNA from 1 species